rnacentral:rRNA from 1 species
GACGAACGCUGGCGGCGUGCUUAACACAUGCAAGUCGAACGGAAAGGCCCUGCUUUUGUGGGGUGCUCGAGUGGCGAACGGGUGAGUAACACGUGAGUAACCUGCCCUUGACUUUGGGAUAACUUCAGGAAACUGGGGCUAAUACCGGAUAGGAGCUCCUGCUGCAUGGUGGGGGUUGGAAAGUUUCGGCGGUUGGGGAUGGACUCGCGGCUUAUCAGCUUGUUGGUGGGGUAGUGGCUUACCGAGGCUUUGACGGGUAGCCGGCCUGAGAGGGUGACCGGCCACAUUGGGACUGAGAUACGGCCCAGACUCCUACGGGAGGCAGCAGUGGGGAAUAUUGCACAAUGGGCGGAAGCCUGAUGCAGCAACGCCGCGUGCGGGAUGACGGCCUUCGGGUUGUAAACCGCUUUCGCCUGUGACGAAGCGUGAGUGACGGUAAUGGGUAAAGAAGCACCGGCUAACUACGUGCCAGCAGCCGCGGUGAUACGUAGGGCGCGAGCGUUGUCCGGAUUUAUUGGGCGUAAAGGGCUCGUAGGUGGUUGAUCGCGUCGGAAGUGUAAUCUUGGGGCUUAACCCUGAGCGUGCUUUCGAUACGGGUUGACUUGAGGAAGGUAGGGGAGAAUGGAAUUCCUGGUGGAGCGGUGGAAUGCGCAGAUAUCAGGAGGAACACCAGUGGCGAAGGCGGUUCUCUGGGCCUUUCCUGACGCUGAGGAGCGAAAGCGUGGGGAGCGAACAGGCUUAGAUACCCUGGUAGUCCACGCUGUAAACGGUGGGUACUAGGUGUGGGGUCCAUUCCACGGGUUCCGUGCCGUAGCUAACGCUUUAAGUACCCCGCCUGGGGAGUACGGCCGCAAGGCUAAAACUCAAAGGAAUUGACGGGGCCCCGCACAAGCGGCGGAGCAUGCGGAUUAAUUCGAUGCAACGCGUAGAACCUUACCUGGGUUUGACAUGGAUCGGGAGUGCUCAGAGAUGGGUGUGCCUCUUUUGGGGUCGGUUCACAGGUGGUGCAUGCCUGUCGUCAGCUCGUGUCGUGAGAUGUUGGGUUAAGUCCCGCAACGAGCGCAACCCUUGUUCACUGUUGCCAGCACGUUAUGGUGGGGACUCAGUGGAGACCGCCGGGGUCAACUCGGAGGAAGGUGGGGAUGACGUCAAGUCCUCAUGCCCCUUAUGUCCAGGGCUUCACGCAUGCUACAAUGGCUGGUACAGAGAGUGGCGAGCCUGUGAGGGUGAGCGAAUCUCGGAAAGCCGGUCUCAGUUCGGAUUGGGGUCUGCAACUCGACCUCAUGAAGUCGGAGUCGCUAGUAAUCGCAGAUCAGCAACGCUGCGGUGAAUACGUUCCCGGG